rnacentral:lncRNA from 1 species
CGGGGGGGGGGUUGUUCUUUUGCUCCUUGGGUCCACACUGCGUUUAUGAGCUGUAAUAUUCACCGCAAAGGUCUGCAGCUUCACUACUAAGCCAACGAGACCACAAACCCACCAGGAGGAACGACAAUUCCAGACGCGUGGCUUUAACAGCUGUUAACACUCACCGCGAAGGUCUGUAGCUUCAUUUCUGAGUCAGCGAGACCACGAACCCACCAGAAAGAAGAAACUCCGAACACACCCGAACCUCAGAAGGAACAAAUUCCGGACACGCCGCCUUUAAGAACUGUAACACUCACCACAAGGGUCCGCGGCUUCAUUCUUGAAGUCAGUGAGACCAAGAACCCACUAAUUCCGGACACACUUUGACCAGCAGAGCAGGCAGAAGUAAAGCCACGGUUCACAGAAGUGGCUGCCCCGGCUGGACACAGGCUCAAUCUUGCUGGAAUCUGUCCUCUUACUCCCCUACCCCAGCCCAGUGCCCCACCAGCGUGCUCCACUCAGCAUCCUGAUUUUCCCUGGAAUGUGCCACUUUGCCACCAUUUCCCUUUCAACAGAUGGAAUAUAGCAAGUUCGCUUUCUGUAUCAAUCAUGUCACAAAUCAUUAAGCAUAUCGACAUCAAGCAGAGCCAGCCUGUGUAGUCGCAAAGGGGUCGGGUGUUCUUCCACUGCCGAGCAGGCAGGUGCCACUACCUCGUCCUCAACUGUCAGAACCCUUCCCCAGACCACAGCUUUAACAGCCGAUCUUCAGAAGCCAGAGAAGCCUCCCCCAACGCCAGUGCCCUGGGUCCAAGAGCAGAAUCUCAGUGUUCCUGCAGAAGUCACCAUGGAAGAAUAAUCGUGUUGUGAUUUUGAAAGGAAAUUGAAAUCCCCUCUUUACUGCUUUCUAAAUGAACCUUAUAAUUUUCUCCUGGGAGAAGCAGCAGCCCCGGGAGAGGCUUAACUAGCAGAGCACUGAGGCCCACCGACAGCCAUGUGCAUGAGCUUGGAAGCACAUCUCCCCAACCCACCCCAGUCAAGCCUGCAGAUGAGACCUCAGCUGCAGCUGACAACUCGGCU